UGGCUAACGCCAGUCAGUGCCAGGCCAAAGGACAUUUCCAAUUUAUUUACGCUCAGAGGCACUUUGUCUGCCUUGCCUGCGCCAUGGCUUCAGCUCUCCUUCCUCAACUUCUUCUUUCCAUGCCGCUCUCUUUGCUCUGCUACGCUUUUUGCACUGCGUAUGACAGUAUUUGUGUAGUCUGUCAGCCAGAAAGAGUCCGAGAUGGCGAACGGGGCAGCACGGGGUCCGACUCUCUAGAAUAGUUCCCUUCUGUUUUUUUUCGUACUUCAGAGAGCUUCGCUCACAUUUUGACAGCAAAAUGUUCCUUCUGGUUGUGUUAGUGUGAAAAGUGUUGAAAGGCCAGAGUACAUGCAGAGUACAAUGCAGCAAAUGUGGCAAAGACAAGAACUCACAGCACCAUGAAGAUGUCCUCUGUUCUGGUCAGUUUAUUUGGGCGAUGCAAUUUAGGACUAACAGGACAACGAAGCUAUCGCUCAUCCUUCCUAUUAUGGUCUUUUUUUUCAAAUUUGUUGAACACAUUUAUUUGUUUUAAUUUAUUAAAUUGCUAAUAGAA